rnacentral:rRNA from 1 species
UACGUAGGGACCGAGCGUUGUCCGGAAUCAUUGGGCGUAAAGAGCUCGUAGGCGGUUUGUCGCGUCUGCUGUGAAAACCCGGGGCUCAACCCCGGGCCUGCAGUCGAUACGGGCAGGCUAGAGUCCGGCAGGGGAGACUGGAAUUCCUGGUGUAGCGGUGAAAUGCGCAGAUAUCAGGAGGAACACCGGUGGCGAAGGCGGGUCUCUGGGCCGGAACUGACGCUGAGGAGCGAAAGCGUGGGGAGCGAACAGG